rnacentral:rRNA from 1 species
UACGAAGGGGGCUAGCGUUGCUCGGAAUUACUGGGCGUAAAGCGCACGUAGGCGGCUUCUUAAGUCGAUGGUGAAAUCCUGGAGCUCAACUCCAGAACUGCCUUCGAUACUGGGGAGCUCGAGUUCGGGAGAGGUGAGUGGAACUGCGAGUGUAGAGGUGAAAUUCGUAGAUAUUCGCAAGAACACCAGUGGCGAAGGCGGCUCACUGGCCCGAUACUGACGCUGAGGUGCGAAAGCGUGGGGAGCAAACAGGG